AAAUUGAAGAGUUUGAUCAUGGCUCAGAUUGAACGCUGGCGGCAGGCCUAACACAUGCAAGUCGAACGGUAACAGGAAACAGCUUGCUGUUUCGCUGACGAGUGGCGGACGGGUGAGUAAUGUCUGGGAAACUGCCUGAUGGAGGGGGAUAACUACUGGAAACGGUAGCUAAUACCGCAUAACGUCGCAAGACCAAAGAGGGGGACCUUCGGGCCUCUUGCCAUCGGAUGUGCCCAGAUGGGAUUAGCUUGUUGGUGGGGUAACGGCUCACCAAGGCGACGAUCCCUAGCUGGUCUGAGAGGAUGACCAGCCACACUGGAACUGAGACACGGUCCAGACUCCUACGGGAGGCAGCAGUGGGGAAUAUUGCACAAUGGGCGCAAGCCUGAUGCAGCCAUGCCGCGUGUAUGAAGAAGGCCUUCGGGUUGUAAAGUACUUUCAGCGGGGAGGAAGGGAGUAAAGUUAAUACCUUUGCUCAUUGACGUUACCCGCAGAAGAAGCACCGGCUAACUCCGUGCCAGCAGCCGCGGUAAUACGGAGGGUGCAAGCGUUAAUCGGAAUUACUGGGCGUAAAGCGCACGCAGGCGGUUUGUUAAGUCAGAUGUGAAAUCCCCGGGCUCAACCUGGGAACUGCAUCUGAUACUGGCAGGCUUGAGUCUCGUAGAGGGGGGUAGAAUUCCAGGUGUAGCGGUGAAAUGCGUAGAGAUCUGGAGGAAUACCGGUGGCGAAGGCGGCCCCCUGGACGAAGACUGACGCUCAGGUGCGAAAGCGUGGGGAGCAAACAGGAUUAGAUACCCUGGUAGUCCACGCCGUAAACGAUGUCGACUUGGAGGUUGUGCCCUUGAGGCGUGGCUUCCGGAGCUAACGCGUUAAGUCGACCGCCUGGGGAGUACGGCCGCAAGGUUAAAACUCAAAUGAAUUGACGGGGGCCCGCACAAGCGGUGGAGCAUGUGGUUUAAUUCGAUGCAACGCGAAGAACCUUACCUGGUCUUGACAUCCACGGAAGUUUUCAGAGAUGAGAAUGUGCCUUCGGGAACCGUGAGACAGGUGCUGCAUGGCUGUCGUCAGCUCGUGUUGUGAAAUGUUGGGUUAAGUCCCGCAACGAGCGCAACCCUUAUCCUUUGUUGCCAGCGGUCCGGCCGGGAACUCAAAGGAGACUGCCAGUGAUAAACUGGAGGAAGGUGGGGAUGACGUCAAGUCAUCAUGGCCCUUACGACCAGGGCUACACACGUGCUACAAUGGCGCAUACAAAGAGAAGCGACCUCGCGAGAGCAAGCGGACCUCAUAAAGUGCGUCGUAGUCCGGAUUGGAGUCUGCAACUCGACUCCAUGAAGUCGGAAUCGCUAGUAAUCGUGGAUCAGAAUGCCACGGUGAAUACGUUCCCGGGCCUUGUACACACCGCCCGUCACACCAUGGGAGUGGGUUGCAAAAGAAGUAGGUAGCUUAACCUUCGGGAGGGCGCUUACCACUUUGUGAUUCAUGACUGGGGUGAAGUCGUAACAAGGUAACCGUAGGGGAACCUGC
rnacentral:rRNA from 1 species